UGGGGAAUAUUGGACAAUGGGCGAAAGCCUGAUCCAGCCAUGCCGCGUGUGUGAAGAAGGUCUUCGGAUUGUAAAGCACUUUAAGUUGGGAGGAAGGGCAUUAACCUAAUACGUUAGUGUUUUGACGUUACCGACAGAAUAAGCACCGGCUAACUCUGUGCCAGCAGCCGUGGUAAUACAGAGGGUGCAAGCGUUAAUCGGAAUUACUGGGCGUAAAGCGCGCGUAGGUGGUUUGUUAAGUUGGAUGUGAAAUCCCCGGGCUCAACCUGGGAACUGCAUUCAAAACUGACUGACUAGAGUAUGGUAGAGGGUGGUGGAAUUUCCUGUGUAGCGGUGAAAUGCGUAGAUAUAGGAAGGAACACCAGUGGCGAAGGCGACCACCUGGACUAAUACUGACACUGAGGUGCGAAAGCGUGGGGAGCAAACA
rnacentral:rRNA from 1 species